UACACUGAAAAAAAGACUUGGUUAUGAUAAUCCAGCCUUGGUCUAAAUUACCCAAAACCUUAGAGAAAUAGUUUCAACUAAACGUAAGUGUAAUCGGGCGGUAAUUGUGUUGUGCCAAUUAUGAUGGAGAGCGUUUGCGAGGAGAUGGAGCGGUCAAUCAAGGAAGGAGGAGGUCGGCGACGUCGGGACUCGGGCGAUGGAGUGUACGGAAGCGGUGAAGCGGUCAAGGAAGGAACGCGUCGAGCUGCUAGGGCAGCUCGAUCGGUGAGUGAAUUGUGUUUGUUGUAUCGGUGUGUGAUUUUAUGUAUUCCGCUUGCUGUGAUUCAAUACAUUAUUACAGCGGUGUGACACACACCACACAUACAUUUUGCCAUGGCUAUAAUUUAAAAUGCACUGCGCAUUUUGAUAUAUGUGAAUUUAUCUUAAUGUACGUUUUAUAUAUAUAUAUGUGUGUGUGCAUUUCUGCUCUUUUAAUUGUUUGUCUUAUUACGUGGCACACAAGGAUGAACGAGUAGGCUUUAGCUUAAAAAUAUUAAAUAUUAAAAAAUGCGUUGCUGAUACAAUUAAUAUUGUUGUAAAAGAAUUUUAUAACAGACGUUGGCAAAGUAAAUGAAACAAGCGUUUGCGUGAAAUAGAGUCGUUCGAACGAAAAAGAGGAUUUUGGUUUUAAUUAGAUUGCAUUAAUAAUAGGAUCGCGGUUAAUUAGAGCGAAUCAUAAUUUCUAUCAAGCGUUCCCUUAAAGCGAUAUUAUUACUGCGACUGUAGCACCUGCCGGGUUAUUAUACCGCGUGAUACACGUGUUUUCAAAGUUGUCAGUCAACAGCCUUUAAGAUUGUCCAAGAUUUCGCGGCCCUGUGUAUCGUUCGGCAUCGUUCGAACGAACAAUCGAACGCACCUUCUCGAUCUUCGCUUUGUAGAAGUCCAUUCAAAAUCGACUGUUCUGACCACACGUCAAUGGGGAGAGAUUGGUAUUCCGUCCCUUUGAGGCCUUCCUUUGCGGUCCACCCAACGCGACCACAAAUCUUCUCCCCGACCCUUCGGCGUGUACGAAGGGUCGUCGUCGCGGCGCGUUUCCACCGUAUGUUUUUACCCGGAAGGGUGACGACACGUUACGAGUGAGUUAACUGGCGACGAAACAAAGGUACAAGGGGCGGCUUUUUUUGUUGCCGUUAAACGAAGGUGCUGCUUUCUUUUUUCUUUCGCGGAGAGAAAAAGGGAGGGGGCUCGCGUUCUGAAAUUAAGUGACUAUUUUAUGGCGCUAAUUGUGAUAAAUGCCGCGGCCAAAUGGCGGGUUUGCAUCCGCGAUGUAAUUUGUCGUUGAAAAGAGAAUACUCUCUUUUCUGACGUAAUAAUUCAUUAAUUUGUUUUUGGCGUGAUAAACAAAUUAUAUAGGUCUUUUUCUGCUUUUAUUAACCAACAGCAUAUGAUCUUUUAAUAAUAAAAAUAAAAUUACCAAAGAACAACGUGCGAACAUUACAAAAUUAACUU